UCUUUCACUCUCUCUCUCAAUCUCUCUCACUCACUCUGAAGAACCCGCUCACCUUCGCUCAAGCUCUCUCACGGUGUUGCACUCAAGCUUUCUCGUGACUCUUCUCUAGUCUCUCACUUCUCUCUCAAUCUCGCACUCAUUGUCUCAGAGAGGUCUUCGCGUUUUGUGUCGUCACCAUCUCGCACUCAGUUGUCGCCAUCUCUGCGCUCGUCUUUGUCGGCGGCAGAAUCAGACGGAACCAGCAUUUGGUCGUUAUCAUCUUCGGCCGUCAGUUGGUGAGCUUCCUUCACCGGCAAUUGGUCCCUGGGUAGCUAUAUUGAGGAAUGAAGUAGGAUGGUUCGAUGAGGAAGAACACAACUCAAGUCUGGUGGCAGCAAAGCUUGCAACAGAUGCAACUAAUUCAAGUCUGCCAUUGUUAAGAGGAUUUUAGUCAUUUUACAGAAUAUGAUUUUAUUGUUGUAAAUCAUCUUUGCAGAUAAAUUUUUUGUUGUCAUAAAUCAUCAUUGAACUUUAAUUUACUUAUUGUGUUAUAUUUUUCUCUCUUUAUUUAAAUUGAGAAAAUAUUUUGUAUUAGUAACGAAUUUAUUAUAUAUUUUUGUAAUAUUAGUUAUGUUUAAGAAUUAA